AGCAGCCGCGGUAAUUCCAGCUCCAAUAGCGUAUAUUAAAGUUGUUGCAGUUAAAAAGCUCGUAGUUGAAUUUCGGGAUCAAUAUGUUGGUCGUGCCUUGGUACGUACUGGCAUUAUCGAUUCCUACCUUCUGAAGAACCUCGAUGUCAUUAAUUUGGUGUCUUGGGGAAUCAGGACUGUUACUUUGAAAAAAUUAGAGUGUUUAAAGCAGGCUCGCGCUUGAAUACAUUAGCAUGGAAUAAUGAAAUAGGACGUUUGAUUCUAUUUUGUUGGUUCUAGGAUCGACGUAAUGAUUAAUAGGGAUAGUUGGGGGCAUUAGUAUUCAAUUGUCAGAGGUGAAAUUCUUGGAUUUAUUGAAGACUAACUACUGCGAAAGCAUUUGCCAAGGAUGUUUUCAUUAAUCAAGAACGAAAGUUAGGGGAUCGAAGACGAUCAGAUACCGUCGUAGUCUUAACCAUAAACUAUGCCGACUAGGGAUCGGAUGAUGUUAAUUUUUUAAUGACUCAUUCGGCGCCUUACG
rnacentral:misc_RNA from 1 species